rnacentral:rRNA from 1 species
CAAUAGCGUAUAUUAAAGUUGUUGCAGUUAAAAAGCUCGUAGUUGGAUCUCUGGUGGGAGCGAUCGGUCUGGCGCUUAGCGCGAGUACUUGCAUCGUCUCCGGCCAUCCUUGGGGAAAGUCUGUCUGGCAUUAAGUUGUCGGGCAGAGGAUCCUCAUCGUUUACUGUGAAAAAAUUAGAGUGUUCAAAGCAGGCUUAUGCCGUUGAAUAUAUUAGCAUGGAAUAAUAAGAUAGGACUUUGGUACUAUUUUGUUGGUUUGCGCACCAAAGUAAUGAUUAAUAGGGACAGUUGGGGGUAUUCGUAUUCCGUUGUCAGAGGUGAAAUUCUUGGAUUUACGGAAGACGAACUACUGCGAAAGCAUUUACCAAGGAUGUUUUCAUUAA